CCUUUGGACAGAAGACUCUACCCUUAGGAUAGAAGACAGCUUCCAUGAUGUGUUUCUUUAGAAGCAUCUUCCACCCCAUGCUUUUCCUCAGACCCUCUGGUAUAGAUUUGGGACUCUUUUCUGUUGGCUGGGACACUGACAGUGCAGUGCCACAUGGUCCAGACCCCCAUGACAGGAAACGCAGGUUCCUUGACUCUAGUCCUAAGCUGCUCUCGCAACUCUUCCCGCUCACUAGUCAUUGGAAACGUUACGAAGGAAGGUUUCUGAGAAGUUGUGCCGCCCUGAAGUGUGUUCUUGAGAGUCAGGGGCUGAAGCCCUGUCAGUCAGAUAUC